AAUCAACGCUGGCGGCGUGCCUCAGACAUGCAAGUCGAACGAUUAAAGCUCUCUUCGGAGAGUGUAUAGAGUGGCGCACGGGUGAGUAACACGUAAGUAAUCUACCUUCGAGUGGGGAAUAACGUCCGGAAACGGACGCUAAUACCGCAUAAUGCAGCGGCAUCGCAAGAUGACAGUUGUUAAAGAUUUAUCGCUUGAAGAGGAGCUUACGGCGGAUUAGCAGUUGGUAAGGUAAUGGCUUACCAAGGCUACGAUCUGUAACCGGUCUAAGAGGACGGUCGGUCACACUGACACUGAAUAACGGGUCAGACCCCUACCGGGA
rnacentral:rRNA from 1 species